UGGGGAAUAUUGGACAAUGGGCGAAAGCCUGAUCCAGCAACGCCGCGUGAGGGAUGACGGCCUUCGGGUUGUAAACCUCUUUCAGCGGGGACGAAGCGCAAGUGACGGUACCCGCAGAAGAAGCACCGGCCAACUACGUGCCAGCAGCCGCGGUAACACGUAGGGUGCAAGUGUUGUCCGGAAUUAUUGGGCGUAAAGGGCUCGUAGGCGGUCCGUCACGUCGGGAGUGAAAACUCGGGGCUCAACCCCGAGCCUGCUUUCGAUACGGGCGGACUAGAGGUAGGUAGGGGAGAACGGAAUUCCUGGUGUAGCGGUGGAAUGCGCAGAUAUCAGGAGGAACACCGGUGGCGAAGGCGGUUCUCUGGGCCUUACCUGACGCUGAGGAGCGAAAGCGUGGGGAGCGAACAG
rnacentral:rRNA from 1 species